rnacentral:rRNA from 1 species
AUUGAACGCUGGCGGCAUGCCUUACACAUGCAAGUCGAACGGCAGCACGGGAGCAAUCCUGGUGGCGAGUGGCGAACGGGUGAGUAAUAUAUCGGAACGUGCCCAGUCGUGGGGAUAACGUAGCGAAAGCUACGCUAAUACCGCAUACGAUCUAUGGAUGAAAGCGGAGGAUCGCAAGACCUCGCGCGAUUGGAGCGGCCGAUAUCAGAUUAGGUAGUUGGUGAGGUAAAGGCUCACCAAGCCGACGAUCUGUAGCUGGUCUGAGAGGACGACCAGCCACACUGGGACUGAGACACGGCCCAGACUCCUACGGGAGGCAGCAGUGGGGAAUUUUGGACAAUGGGCGCAAGCCUGAUCCAGCAAUGCCGCGUGCAGGAUGAAGG